UCUCGGAUGGUGCAAUGGUAGCAUUCCCGCCCGUCUUCAAGUCGAUGGAUCUGAUCUGUUCACUUCACAUUGACCGUACACGCGUGAGCGGGAGAUCGUAGUUCAACUCUACGUCCGAGAG